rnacentral:lncRNA from 1 species
GGCGUGUGCCUUGCCAUGAUCCUAACUCUCUGCCCUUCCCCAAGCGACGUGGGCCGUGGCCCGGCUGGGUCAGCUGAAGAACUGCAGAUGGAAGUGGAGGAAGACCCCCUGAUGGGACCCACCACUCCGGACCCAAGUCUUUUUCCUGGCCAACCUCUUGCCUUCUUCCUGGUUUGGGCCGACGCCAUCCUGGAUUCCUGCGUGGGAAGGGACCUCGAAUGUGGGACCCCAGCCCCCUCCAGCUUGAAAUCCCUCCACAGCCACGGGGACGCCCUGCACCUAUUCCCACGGGACAGGCUGGACCCAGAGACUCUGGACCCGGGGCACCCCCUUGAGUAGAGACCCGCCCUCUGACUGAUGGACGCCGCUGACCUGGGGUCAGAGCUGCGGGCUGGACCCCUGCCCACCCCGCAGGAACCCAGAGGCCUAGGGGAGCUGCCGAGCCUUCGGUGUCUGCAUGCGGGGAGUGGUGGGCUGGUUCACCUACCUCACAGGGCUGUUGUGAGGGCACUGUGAUUCGGCAAAGCACAGGGCUUGGCACACCCCACUGUGCUCUCAAUAAAUGUGUUUCCUGUCUUAACAAACAGUGACGGAUGUGCUACUAA